AGAGUUUGAUUAUGGCUCAGAUUGAACGCUGGCGGCAGGCCUAACACAUGCAAGUCGAGCGGUAGAGAGAAGCUUGCUUCUCUUGAGAGCGGCGGACGGGUGAGUAAUGCCUAGGAAUCUGCCUGGUAGUGGGGGAUAACGUUCGGAAACGGACGCUAAUACCGCAUACGUCCUACGGGAGAAAGCAGGGGACCUUCGGGCCUUGCGCUAUCAGAUGAGCCUAGGUCGGAUUAGCUAGUUGGUGGGGUAAUGGCUCACCAAGGCGACGAUCCGUAACUGGUCUGAGAGGAUGAUCAGUCACACUGGAACUGAGACACGGUCCAGACUCCUACGGGAGGCAGCAGUGGGGAAUAUUGGACAAUGGGCGAAAGCCUGAUCCAGCCAUGCCGCGUGUGUGAAGAAGGUCUUCGGAUUGUAAAGCACUUUAAGUUGGGAGGAAGGGCAGUAAAUUAAUACUUUGCUGUUUUGACGUUACCGACAGAAUAAGCACCGGCUAACUCUGUGCCAGCAGCCGCGGUAAUACAGAGGGUGCAAGCGUUAAUCGGAAUUACUGGGCGUAAAGCGCGCGUAGGUGGUUAGUUAAGUUGGAUGUGAAAUCCCCGGGCUCAACCUGGGAACUGCAUUCAAAACUGACUGACUAGAGUAUGGUAGAGGGUGGUGGAAUUUCCUGUGUAGCGGUGAAAUGCGUAGAUAUAGGAAGGAACACCAGUGGCGAAGGCGACCACCUGGACUGAUACUGACACUGAGGUGCGAAAGCGUGGGGAGCAAACAGGAUUAGAUACCCUGGUAGUCCACGCCGUAAACGAUGUCAACUAGCCGUUGGGAGCCUUGAGCUCUUAGUGGCGCAGCUAACGCAUUAAGUUGACCGCCUGGGGAGUACGGCCGCAAGGUUAAAACUCAAA
rnacentral:rRNA from 1 species